rnacentral:rRNA from 1 species
CACAGAGGUCUCAAGCGUUGUUCGGAUUCAUUGGGCGUAAAGGGUGCGUAGGCGGCGCGGUAAGUCGGGUGUGAAAUCUUGGAGCUUAACUCCGAAACUGCAUUCGAUACUGCCGUGCUUUGAGGACUGGAGAGGAGACUGGAAUUUACGGUGUAGCGGUGAAAUGCGUAGAUAUCGUAAGGAAGACCAGUGGCGAAGGCGGGGUCUCUGGACAGUUCCUGACGCUGAGGCACGAAGGCCCAGGGGGAGCAAAACGGGG